rnacentral:rRNA from 1 species
GGGUUGUGAGGUUAAGCGACUAAGCGUACACGGUGGAUGCCCUGGCAGUCAGAGGCGAUGAAGGGCGUGCUAAUCUGCGAUAAGCGCCGGUAAGGUGAUAUGAACCGUUAUAACCGGCGAUUUCCGAAUGGGGAAACCCAGUGUGAUUCGUCACACUAUCAUUAACUGAAUCCAUAGGUUAAUGAGGCGAACCGGGGGAACUGAAACAUCUAAGUACCCCGAGGAAAAGAAAUCAACCGAGAUUCCCCCA